rnacentral:sRNA from 1 species
GGAGUUUCUAAUUUGGAGAAUGCAAAACCAAAAAAGAGAAAGUUAUUCCGGAGAUUUAUGUCUGAAAAUAAAAUAUUUGAAUAAUCCUCUUUGGUAGUUCAUUGGCUGCUCAUCUUCCAGCCCUCCAUGUGUAUCUUGGCUGCUCCAUGGUCAAGGUGACUUGUUAGAGAUCUUUUUAGAUCUGUGAAUCUAGGAGACAAUAAAAAAUUAGCAGAAAGUG